rnacentral:rRNA from 1 species
AGUGGGGAAUAUUGGACAAUGGGCGAAAGCCUGAUCCAGCCAUGCCGCGUGAGUGAUGAAGGCCCUAGGGUUGUAAAGCUCUUUUGUGCGGGAAGAUAAUGACGGUACCGCAAGAAUAAGCCCCGGCUAACUUCGUGCCAGCAGCCGCGGUAAUACGAAGGGGGCUAGCGUUGCUCGGAAUCACUGGGCGUAAAGGGUGCGUAGGCGGGUUUCUAAGUCAGAGGUGAAAGCCUGGAGCUCAACUCCAGAACUGCCUUUGAUACUGGAAGUCUUGAGUUCGGGAGAGGUGAGUGGAACUGCGAGUGUAGAGGUGAAAUUCGUAGAUAUUCGCAAGAACACCAGUGGCGAAGGCGGCUCACUGGCCCGAUACUGACGCUGAGGCACGAAAGCGUGGGGAGCAAA